AUUGAACGCUGGCGGCAGGCCUAACACAUGCAAGUCGAGCGGAUGAAGGGAGCUUGCUCCUGGAUUCAGCGGCGGACGGGUGAGUAAUGCCUAGGAAUCUGCCUGGUAGUGGGGGAUAACGUCCGGAAACGGGCGCUAAUACCGCAUACGUCCUGAGUGAGAAAGUGGGGGAUCUUCGGACCUCACGCUAUCAGCUGAGCCUAGGUCGGAUUAGCUAGUUGGUGGGGUAAAGGCCUACCAAGGCGACGAUCCGUAACUGGUCUGAGAGGAUGAUCAGUCACACUGGAACUGAGACACGGUCCAGACUCCUACGGGAGGCAGCAGUGGGGAAUAUUGGACAAUGGGCGAAAGCCUGAUCCAGCAAUGCCGCGUGUGUGAAGAAGGUCUUCGGAUUGUAAAGCACUUUAAGUUGGGAGGAAGGGAAGUAAGUUAAUACCUUGCUGUUUUGACGGUACCAAAAGAAUAAGCACCGGCUAACUUCGUG
rnacentral:rRNA from 1 species